AAAGGGUGCGUAGGCGGUUUAUUAAGUCAGUGGUGAAGACGGUCGCUCAACGAUUGCAGUGCCAUUGAUACUGGUAGACUUGAGUGGGAUUGAGGUAGCUGGAAUGGAUAGUGUAGCGGUGAAAUGCAUAGAUAUUAUCCAGAACACCAAUUGCGUAGGCAAGUUACUAAGUCUCAACUGACGCUGAGGCACGAAAGUGUGGGUAUCAAACAGGAUUAGAUACCCCCAGU
rnacentral:rRNA from 1 species